rnacentral:lncRNA from 1 species
AUCUUGAAAAGUUUCUGUUUAUCGGUAUGAAAUUUAUAUUUAAUAUUCAUAGUUUCGGUUUCAAUGCAAAGGCCCGAAUUAUAAUCCGAUCCGAAGAGCCCGCAUUGUGAUCCUAAUAAAAUUUUUUAUGAGGUUUGUGGUGUUUAGCUUGGAAAGUUUCUGUCUAUUAACGCUUUAUUAUGCAAACUGCUAUCUUCUAUCACCAUGAUGGAUUUCAAACAGCUUUUAGAGUUGUGCAUGGAUGCCUUUAGCCUUCAUG